rnacentral:rRNA from 1 species
GAGUCGGACCUGCCCAGUGAAUAAAUUUUAACGGCCGCGGUACUCUGACCGUGCAAAGGUAGCAUAAUCAUUUGCCCUAUAAUUGAGGGCUGGUAUGAAUGGUUUGACGUGAACAGAACUGUCUCUAUAUAAUUUUUUAAAAUUUGAUUUUUAGGUGAAGAAACCUAAAUUGUAUUGAAAGACAAGAAGACCCUAUUGAGCUUUAAAUAAAUAAGUUGAAAAUAAUAAUAUAGAUUUAAAUAUUAAUCUACUUAAAACUUUGGUUGGGGCGACUAUGGAACAGAUAAAGCUUCUUUAUAAUUAAGGUGAAUUGUCAGAUUUUGAUCCAAGAAUUUUGAUUAAUGAAAUUAGUUACCAUAGGGAUAACAGCAUAAUUCUCUUUGAGAGCCCUUAUCGAAAAGAGAGUUUGUGACCUCGAUGUUGGAUUAGAAUAUCCUGAAGAUGUAGCAGUCUUUAAGGGUUGGUC